UUAAUAUUCCCGUACUUCUUACAAUUGCGAUGGGGGGACGGAGAAGGCUAGGUGGGCCUGGCGACGGUUGUCCAGGUUCAAGUGCGUAGGCUGAGUGUUUAGGUAAAUCCGGACACUCUUAAGGCUGAGACACGACGUCGAGCUACUACGGUAGUGAAGUCAUUGAUGCCAUGCUUCCAGGAAAAGCCUCUAAGCUUCAGAUUGUAAGGAAUCGUACCCCAAACCGACACAGGUGGUCGGGUAGAGAAUACCAAGGCGCUUGAGAGAACUCGGGUGAAGGAACUAGGCAAAAUGGUACCGUAACUUCGGGAGAAGGUACGCUCUUGAUGGUGAAGUCCCUUGCGGAUGGAGCUGACGAGAGUCGCAGAUACCAGGUGGCUGCAACUGUUUAUUAAAAACACAGCACUGUGCAAAAUCGUAAGAUGACGUAUACGGUGUGACGCCUGCCCGGUGCCGG
rnacentral:rRNA from 1 species